GUGAGGUAACGGCUCACCAAGGCGAUGACGGGUAGCUGGUCUGAGAGGAUGAUCAGCCUCACGGGGACUGAGACACGGCCCCGACUCCUACGGGAGGCAGCAGUGGGGAAUUUUGGACAAUGGGCGAAAGCCUGAUCCGGCGACGCCGCGUGCGGGAGGAAGCCCUUCGGGGUGUAAACCGCUGUCAGGGGGGAAGAACAGGUUGGGGCGAACAGCCUCAGCCGCUGACGGUACCCCCAGAGGAAGCGCCGGCUAACUCCGUGCCAGCAGCCGCGGUAAUACGGAGGGCGCAAGCGUUGUCCGGAAUCACUGGGCGUAAAGGGGGCGCAGGCGGCUUGGUAAGUCCUAUGUGAAAUCCCACGGCUCAACCGUGGAAUGCCAUAGGAUACUGCCGAGCUUGAGACGGGUAGAGGCGAGUGGAAUUCCCGGUGUAGCGGUGGAAUGCGUAGAUAUCGGGAAGAACACCAGCGGCGAAGGCGGCUCGCUGGGCCCGUUCUGACGCUCAGGCCCGAAAGCGUGGGGAGCAAACAGGAUUAGAUACCCUGGUAGUCCACGCCGUAAACGCUGGGCACUAGAUGCUGGGAAGUGUGACCUUUUCGGUGUCGUAGCUAACGCGUUAAGUG
rnacentral:rRNA from 1 species